UGGGGAAUAUUGGACAAUGGGCGAAAGCCUGAUCCAGCCAUGCCGCGUGUGUGAAGAAGGUCUUCGGAUUGUAAAGCACUUUAAGUUGGGAGGAAGGGCAGUAAAUUAAUACUUUGCUGUUUUGACGUUACUGACAGAAUAAGCACCGGCUAACUCUGUGCCAGCAGCCGCGGUAAUACAGAGGGUGCAAGCGUUAAUCGGAAUUACUGGGCGUAAAGCGCGCGUAGGUGGUUCGUUAAGUUGGAUGUGAAAUCCCCGGGCUCAACCUGGGAACUGCAUUCAAAACUGACGAGCUAGAGUAUGGUAGAGGGUGGUGGAAUUUCCUGUGUAGCGGUGAAAUGCGUAGAUAUAGGAAGGAACACCAGUGGCGAAGGCGACCACCUGGACUGAUACUGACACUGAGGUGCGAAAGCGUG
rnacentral:rRNA from 1 species